UAGUAAUGUUUUUUCUUUCAGGUUAUAUCUACAAGGAAGAAAUCAGCCAAAUAUGAGAAGGCUGAGAUAAAGGAGAUGGGUGAGAUACACAGAGAGCUCAAUGCCUAACCGUGCUGAGUGCUGAGCUGAGGGGGGAGCCACCUGACAGGAAGUGGCAGAAGAACUCGGAUUACAAACGUAUAAACCUGGGGAAGAUGAAGACCUUUCAAGGGUUACUGCUUUGGUAGUUACCACCACACAUUUGGAAUAGUGAAAUAUGUACUUAUAAAUACAAGCAGCUUGACAUUGGCAUUACCAAUCUUAAAAUUAGACUAAUGUCUUAUAUGUGCAGGUCCAGUGUGGAACUCAGAACUUAGCCUGCAAAGUAAAGAUAGUUUAUGCUUAUUAUUGAAGAGUGCAUCACACACAUUCCACAGUAGAAUACGAUGACUAGUCUCAUUUUUUUGUGAUUAAGGCUGUAUCCUUCUAUAUACCUAAGUCUUGUACAUAAUAAACUUUUUUUUAAUGAAAUAAAACAUUUUUAAACUGA